AUACGUAGGGGGCUAGCGUUGUCCGGAAUUAUUGGGCGUAAAGGAUGCGUAGGUGGAUAUUUAAGUGGGAUGUGAAAUCCCCCGGGCUCAACCCGGGAACUGCAUUCCAUACUGGAUAUCUAGAGUGCAGGAGAGGAAAGCGGAAUUCCUAGUGUAGCGGUGAAAUGCGUAGAUAUUAGGAGGAACACCAGUGGCGAAGGCGGCUUUCUGGACUGUAACUGACACUGAGGCAUGAAAGCGUGGGUAGC
rnacentral:rRNA from 1 species